UGUGGCUCAGUGGUAGAGCUCUUGCCUAGCAUGCUUGAGGGCCUGGGUUUGAUCCCCAGCA
rnacentral:tRNA from 1 species